ACAUGCAAGUCGAACGAAGUAGCAAUACUUAGUGGCAGACGGGUGAGUAACAUGUAGGUAUCUGCCCUUUGGCCUGGAAUAACACGAGGAAACUUGUGCUAAUACCGGAUAAGUCUUUACAGAGAAAGCUUUAUGCACCAUUGGAUGAGCCUGCACUUGAUUAGUUUGUUGGUGGGGUAAUGGCCUACCAAGACUGUGAUCAAUAGCUGAUUUGAGAGGAUGAUCAGCCACAUUGGGACUGAGACACGGCCCAAACUCCUACGGGAGGCAGCAGUGGGGAAUCUUGCACAAUGGAGGAAACUCUGAUGCAGCGAUGCCGCGUGAGUGAAGAAGGCCUUUGGGUUGUAAAGCUCUUUCGUCGGGGAAGAAAAUGACUGUACCCGAAUAAGAAGGUCCGGCUAACUUCGUGCCAGCAGCCGCGGUAAUACGAAGGGACCUAGCGUAGUUCGGAAUUACUGGGCUUAAAGAGUUCGUAGGUGGUUGAAAAAGUUGGUGGUGAAAUCCCAGAGCUUAACUCUGGAACUGCCAUCAAAACUUUUCAGCUAGAGUAUGAUAGAGGAAAGCAGAAUUUCUAGUGUAGAGGUGAAAUUCGUAGAUAUUAGAAAGAAUACCAAUUGCGAAGGCAGCUUUCUGGAUCAUUACUGACACUGAGGAACGAAAGCAUGGGUAGCGAAGAGGAUUAGAUACCCUCGUAGUCCAUGCCGUAAACGAUGUGUGUUAGACGUUGGAAAUUUAUUUUCAGUGUCGCAGCGAAAGCGAUAAACACACCGCCUGGG
rnacentral:rRNA from 1 species